rnacentral:lncRNA from 1 species
UAAUCACUAGUUAGCCCUUUUGAGCCUGUAGCCUUUUAUUGGUAGCCAUAUUUUGCCCUUAACUAUUUUAUAGAAUCCCUAGUUUUUGCACCUUGCUUCCUUGAGCUUUAUAGCAUAGACUUAUUCUAAUUAUCAAUUAUGAGAAAAAGGGAUGGUUGAGUAAUCAAUGAUAGCUACAAAGUGCUUAAAAGCCCUCUUUGAAA